AGUGAACGCUGGCGGUAGGCCUAACACAUGCAUGUCGAACGGCAGCACAGUAAGAGCUUGCUCUUACGGGUGGCGAGUGGCGGACGGGUGAGGAAUACAUCGGAAUCUACUUUUUCGUGGGGGAUAACGUAGGGAAACUUACGCUAAUACCGCAUACGACCUACGGGUGAAAGCAGGGGAUCUUCGGACCUUGCGCGAUUGAAUGAGCCGAUGUCGGAUUAGCUAGUUGGCGGGGUAAAGGCCCACCAAGGCGACGAUCCGUAGCUGGUCUGAGAGGAUGAUCAGCCACACUGGAACUGAGACACGGUCCGGACUCCUACGGGAGGCAGCAGUGGGGAAUAUUGGACAAAGGGCGCAAGCCUGAUCCAGCCAUACCGCGUGGGUGAAGAAGGCCUUCGGGUUGUAAAGCCCUUUUGUUGGGAAAGAAAAGCAGCAGGUUAAUACCCCGCUGUUCUGACGGUACCCAAAGAAUAAGCACCGGCUAACUUCGUG
rnacentral:rRNA from 1 species